CUAUGGAAGCUUGCUUCCACUGAAAGAUAGUGGCGAACGGGUGAGUAACACGUGGGUAACCUGCCCAUAAGAGGGGGAUAACAUCCGGAAACGGGUGCUAAUACCGCAUAGUUUUCUUGAUCGCAUGAUCGGGAAAGGAAAGACGGCCUUUGUGCUGUCGCUUAUGGAUGGACCCGCGGCGUAUUAGUUAGUUGGUGAGGUAACGGCUCACCAAGACGAUGAUACGUAGCCGACCUGAGAGGGUGAUCGGCCACAUUGGGACUGAGACACGGCCCAAACUCCUACGGGAGGCAGCAGUAGGGAAUCUUCCGCAAUGGACGAAAGUCUGACGGAGCAACGCCGCGUGAGUGAAGAAAAGGGUUUUCGGAUCGUAAAACUCUGUUGUCAGAGAAGAACAAGUUGGAGAGUAACUGCUCCAGCCUUGACGGUAUCUGACCAGAAAGCCACGGCUAACUACGUGCCAGCCGCCGC
rnacentral:rRNA from 1 species